UCUUCAGUAGUAUAGUGGUCAGUAUUUCCGCUUGUCAUCCAAGUCUUCUAGGCUGCUUGACAAUCCGCGGGAGACCGGGGUUCAAUUCCCCGCUGGAGAG
rfam:Alternaria alternata strain SRC1lrK2f unplaced genomic scaffold CC77scaffold_16, whole genome shotgun sequence.